UCUGCAGGCACCUUCUCUGUCCUUCUGUCC
rnacentral:piRNA from 1 species